rnacentral:lncRNA from 1 species
CUCUAGGGACGGUCGGUGAUAGGACGGACGGUCGGUGAUAGUGAUCACUAUUCAUAUACUAUUAAUAGUAGCUUAGUUGAAGUAUAUAUCAAUAGCACAAAGUUAUUGGUGUUAUUAGAUUUUUGACUCUUAGAUGAAAAAAUGUAUGGUUAGGAUGAUGUGGGCCUCCUAGGGUUGAGAGAGUUAUUAGUUGAAUAGUAUAAUCUAACAGGUGAAAAUAGUUAAAGGAUUAAAUCUAACGACGAAAAGCUCGGUAGCACCAAGCGCUCGGUGCUAUCGAUAAUAUCCUAGCCGGACUCUCUCUCUCUCUCUCUCUAUAUAUAUAUAUAGAAUUGAGUUUCUAUACUUUUAAAAGUACCAAAUUAUUGGUACUUAUAGAUUUUUAGCGUUUAGAUUAAGUGAUGUGCGGUUAGGAUGAUAUGAGACCCCUAGGGUUGAGUGGGUGGUUGGUUGAAUAGUAUAAUCUAACGGGUGAAAAUGAUCAAAGAGGUAGAUCUAACAGUAAAAAAUUUACAAGUACCAAGUGCUUGGUUCUUUUACAAGCACUAUAGCCAGACUCUCUCUCUCUCUCUCUCUCUCUGUAUAUAUAUAUAUAUAUAUUCCGACUUUCUGAUUUACCCCUUUUAGAAGGCUAAUAUUAAAAAUACCCUUUUUACGUUCCAACCAAUCUUCACGAAAUUACUAUUUUGCCCUUUCAAAUAUACCCUUCCACCAUCACCAACUUUUCUAAUUUGUCAUUAAGUUAGGGGUACAAAAAGUAUUUUUAUUUUUGGUCUUUUCAAAUAUACCUUUCUUCCAUCACCAACAUUUCUUUUUUGUUUUUAAGUGGGUCGUAACUACAUAGGUAUUUUAGAAUAACGGAGGCAUAUAUGAAGGGUAUAUUGGAAAGAACAAAAAGAGUAGAGGUAAAUAAGAUAUUUCUGAAGUUUUGACGGGUAUAUAGGCAAUUAUCCCUAAAUAAAUAUAUAGGCUAAUUUGCAUAAAA